rnacentral:rRNA from 1 species
GAUGAACGCUGGCGGCGUGCCUAAUACAUGCAAGUCGAGCGAACAGACGAGGAGCUUGCUCCUCUGACGUUAGCGGCGGACGGGUGAGUAACACGUGGAUAACCUACCUAUAAGACUGGGAUAACUUCGGGAAACCGGAGCUAAUACCGGAUAAUAUAUUGAACCGCAUGGUUCAAUAGUGAAAGACGGUUUUGCUGUCACUUAUAGAUGGAUCCGCGCCGCAUUAGCUAGUUGGUAAGGUAACGGCUUACCAAGGCAACGAUGCGUAGCCGACCUGAGAGGGUGAUCGGCCACACGAGAACGUAGACACGGUCCAGACUCCUACGGGAGGCAGCAGUAGGGAAUCGUCCGCAAUGGGCGAAAGCCUGACGGAGCAACGCCGCGUGAGUGAUGAAGGUCUUCGGAUCGUAAAACUCUGUUAUUAGGGAAGAACAAAUGUGUAAGUAACUAUGCGCGUCUUGACGGUACCUAAUCAGAAAGCCACGGCUAACUACGUG